rnacentral:rRNA from 1 species
UACGUAGGGUGCGAGCGUUAAUCGGAAUUACUGGGCGUAAAGCGUGCGCAGGCGGUUUUGUAAGUCUGUCGUGAAAUCCCCGGGCUCAACCUGGGAAUUGCGAUGGAGACUGCAAGGCUAGAAUCUGGCAGAGGGGGUAGAAUUCCACGUGUGAGCAGUGAAAUGCGUAGAGAUGUGGAGGAACACCGAUGGCGAAGGCAGCCCCCUGGGUCAAGAUUGACGCUCAUGCACGAAAGCGUGGGGAGCAACAGG